rnacentral:rRNA from 1 species
UGCCAGACUCCUACGGGAGGCAGCAGUGGGGGAUAUUGCACAAUGGGGGGAACCCUGAUGCAGCGACGCCGCGUGGGUGAAGGAGUAUUUCGGUAUGUAAAGCCCUAUCGGCAGGGAAGAAGCAAGACGGUACCUGACUAAGAAGCCCCGGCUAACUACGUGCCAGCAGCCGCGGUAAUACGUAGGGGGCGAGCGUUAUCCGGAUUCACUGGGUGUAAAGGGAGCGUAGACGGCGACGCAAGUCUGGAGUGAAAGCCCGGGGCCCAACCCCGGGACUGCUCUGGAAACUGCGGCGCUGGAGUACGGGAGGGGCAGGCGGAAUUCCUGGUGUAGCGGUGAAAUGCGUAGAUAUCAGGAGGAACACCGGCGGCGAAGGCGGCCUGCUGGACCGUGACUGACGUUGAGGCUCGAGAGCGUGGGGAGCAAACAGGAUUAGAUACCCGAGUA